GACAAGGAGGGCCGCUGAGAAUGAACGGCCUCGCCGGCUCAGUCUGCCCCGCAUCCCCCAGACCAUGCAGGGCUGCUGAGCCCUGAAUCCCUUACCCCAUGCAUGGCUGCUGAUCCCUGCAUCCCUCACACUGUGCAGGGCAGCUGAGCCUGAGUGUCUUAGGUACAACAUCCUGUUCUCCCCAAUCUUCCCAGAAGCAGGGCCUGGGUGUGACCAGACAAAGGAGAUGCUGGGGUGACAACCCCCGGUGAGGAGCUACCAGCUUCCCCUUAUCCUUCAAGGUCCCUCUCGGGGGCUCUGUCAGCUUCCUGUCAGAGGCGGACCUGCCUGGCACUCACUCCUUCUCUCUUCUUUGGUUUAAAGGUUCUGGGCCUGCAGGGCCACGUGUGAGAUGUGGGGAGCUGAGGGUUACAGGCACAGCACACGUGGGAGGAGGCACCUCCUAGGCACAAACCCCCUGCUGCAUGUGGGACAAUCAAGAUCUGUAGACAGAGAUGACUCUACCUGGUAGCCUCUUGGGGGAGCUCCUCUUGAGCCCUCUCCACCCGUGGGCUGGCUCACCGGUCCUGCCUCUAGAACCCGACUCCCUAAAGGAGCCAGAGUCCAUCACCCUUGCUUCAGCACAAGGGACAGGGUCCCUGCCAGCUAGGACAACAUUUCUAGAUCUCUCUGGUAUCUUCUCCUGACAUCACCCAGGUUUGCCAAUGGUAACUACUCAACAGCUCAGAGAACCCUGAGUCUUUGUCUUCAUUUUUAAUUUAUACAUUCCUGUUGCCUCUAUGCAGAACAGGCCUGACACUCCCUGUAGUCUGGGACGAGUCCGCAGGGCCCGUGAUGCUUCUUUGUGAGUGGUGGGGCAGAAGAGUCUGGCCUGUCCUGUCUGUGGGCCCCCUCAGAGGAUCAGGGCUCUUCCUCAGUAUGACGCUGGGGGACUCUAUAACUUCCUCAGGGCACUGGUGGACUCCUUGGUUCUAGGGAGAGGCUGUUCUGCUGGGACCCACGAGAAGCCAGGCCAAUGUCUCUUCCCAUGAUGACACGUGGGAGUGGGCUGGAGUCAUUUAUUGCUUUUAAUCAGAGUUGUCUGACAUGGCAGUGGGGGGAAGGAGGCGGGGGAGCUCAGAACGGCCCGUGAAAACUGCCAAUAAAGAUGAUUUGUUUCA
rnacentral:sRNA from 1 species